rfam:Phycisphaera mikurensis NBRC 102666 DNA, complete genome.
UGCGUGCGGUCGCGGCGGGACGCGAUCCCGUCGAGGAAAGUCCGGGCACGGCAGGACACGGCGGUGGGCAAUCCCCACCGGGCGAGCCGGUGACGGCUCGCCAAGGGAAAGCGCCACAGAAAAGCCGGCGGGCACGCCGGCCGGUCGCGGGGUUCGAGCCCCGUGGUCGUACCGCCUCGAUGGGCUCGGGCCCGGGAAGGUAAGGGUGAAAAGGUGCGGCAAGAGCGCACCGGGCGUCGGGCGACCGACGCCGGCAAGGCAAGCCCCGCCGCGUGCAAGCCCAUGCAGCUCCCUCCGCCGAUCUCUCGGCGACCGCUGGUCCGGCGGGAACGGCAGCGUUCGGGGAGCGGGUCGGGUGCUCGAGGCCGUCGGCGACGGCGGCCCCAGAGGAAUGACCGCGUCGGGGGCUCGUUCCCCGGCAACAGAACCCGGCUUAUCGCGCAAC